ensembl:lncRNA
CUUCUCUUUAUUGUCUAAUUUGUCCAACACAUUCAUCAUUCUUAAAGUUUCACAGUACAGCAGUUCAAUAAAACCGCGACUCAUUGGACAAUAAAUCAUUUACAUUAAAUCGACGCCUUAAUUGUCUUUACAAAACACAUUAUGACAUUUUUAUUAAUUAUGUAAACGUUACAGAGGCAACUCUUUUUAUGUAAUUGUCAGAAAUUGUAGGCAGUAGUAAAUUCAAAAAAAAAAAAAAAAAAAGCUCUUUUCACAUCUUUUGGAUGGAUACAAAAAAGAAACAAAAAAAGAUACAACCAGUAAAUUCAAGUGGAAAAGAUUCAAACAGCUGAAGUGUAGCUCACAUUAUUUGACCUGCACUGAGGAUUUCUGGGACUCUGAGCUGCCGGUUUCCACCAAACCUGCAGGAAAUUAAUUUAAAGAAAAGAAACUUGACCCAACUGAUUCUCAUCCCAGCACUGAAGACUCAACAGCUUCCAGAGAAAAGAUGAGGCGUUUAACAACUUGCAUCCAAAUUAGCUGCACUGAGAUGUGUGUAGAUGUGAAGGGAGGAAUGAGUCAAAAUAAGGUUUAAAACUUAUGAAGAUACAAAAAAAAAAAAAAAAAAAAAAAAAAAAAAAAAAAAAAGCGCUAUGAAAUAACCUGGAUUAUGAGAGUGUGCAAAUCCACAUGACGAGAAAAGCAACCCGAGUGCCUGCAGUUAGUAAAAACCUAACCUAAACACUGCAGCGCUCCUCAUCGUUCCUGUUCCACUACAUUUCCACCAAUCACCCACAGAGUCCAUCUGAACAUCCAACACAACCUCACCUCUGAAUGCCUCAAAAACCCAAAGUGCAGAAAUUCAAACUUAAUCCAGUCUGGAGCUCAUUUCUUUCUGCUAACAGUCUUAAAACACACACAAACAUGCAAAAAUUAUAAAUGUGCGUCAUUUCUUUAAAAACGGUUUCUCUAGAACAGAUGACUUUCCAAAUCUCAGUCUAAGCACCCACACGCCACACUGUAAACUUCAGUAGUGCUUUUAAAAUCAAACUCCUUCACAUUUUAAUCAUUUCCUGAAUCAUGUGAUUGAGUUUUGACACGUUAUCCCUUUUCCUCAUUGAAGCCCCAUUCACACGGCUUUUCUUUGAUGGAGAUGCGACAGUUUUAUUCGUCUUACAGUAUGUAAACGUCACUUCACUCCAAGCCUCCCGUGGAUAAAUGCUCGUUCAGCCCUUCCACUGAAAGCAGAGGAAGCUGAAACACCUACAUACAGCUGUGCUGGGGACUGGUAAGUCGAUGCACUUAGGAAAUCUGAAGUUGAAGUCAUUCAUGCAUAACUGGAAUGUGAGCUACAAACAGCAACUGCUCUCAUUAAACUGCAUUUUAAUAACUACAUAAUUCAAAUAGAGCAACAAUUAGUCCAACUGGUGCCACUAAAGGUGGAAAUUAGCAUUAGCAACUGCUUUCUUUCAUCAGCUGGAGAGAGUAAAUGAAGCCCACGCUAAUUAUUCUCAGUAACAUGUUAACACAUGAACAUUUGCUUUCUGUUACAGCAUUUGCCUCAGACUGUGUGUAAGCUCUGUUGCUGUAGUUGGAGGAGAGCAGCCUGUCAGUCCCUGCAGAGAGGCAGUCAUCGUGUCGCUCUCAGGUCGCAGACACGAAAAGGUCAAAAAUAUUUGAGAUGGAGAGAACAAACACAGCAAUCCUUGGAUAAGUCCAAUUUCAACCAGUCUGAAAACACAGCACAGGUCCCAGAGCAGGCGCUGAUGUGGUCAGAAACUGCUCACCGGCACCAGUUUAUGAUUGGUUAAAUGUAACGUACGUCUGUAUGUGUGCAAGAAAUAUGCAUAUGCAGUUUCAGGGAGCUGCAGGUUCAGCUGGAGCCUUUAUGUACUGCAGCAGGGGUCACGGGGUGAACGGAAGGAUGUGCAGCAGCCUACAACACACAGUGGAGAAAGAUUUUACUGGCAAUACAUUUAAAAAUGCAAUAUCUAC